AGGAUAAUAGUUUAAUAAAAACACUUAAUUUGCAUUUAAAAAAUAUUUAAAAAUUUAUCUUA
rnacentral:tRNA from 1 species